rnacentral:rRNA from 1 species
UACGGGGGGAGCAAGCGUUGUUCGGAUUUACUGGGCGUAAAGGGCGCGUAGGCGGCGUGACAAGUCACUUGUGAAAUCUCCGGGCUUAACCCGGAGCGGCCAAGUGAUACUGUCGUGCUAGAGUGCGGAAGGGGCUACUGGAAUUCUCGGUGUAGCGGUGAAAUGCGUAGAUAUCGAGAGGAACACCUGCGGCGAAGGCGGGUAGCUGGGCCGACACUGACGCUGAGGCGCGAAAGUGUGGGGAUCAAACAGG